GUUAGUCAAUUGUAGACGAAGAAAGAAGGUUGUACAUGGGAUGUUAGGGAAGGUUGAACAGUUCGUAUAAAUAAUAGGAUAUUUAUUCAAGAUUUCGUCACUCUUUAUAAUUUCGAGCAGACUAUUCAAUUCAUAGUCAUAAGUACACUAACAAGUGAAAGGUGAUGGAGCGAGAUACCAAUCAAAUGUCACAGAAUGCUCCAAUGUGUAGAUCUGGUUGUGGGUUUUAUGGAAGUCCUGCUACAGAUGGGCUCUGCUCACAGUGCUACAAAGAUGCAGUUAAAAGAAAACAGUCUACGUCUAACAAUGGAAUCACUGGCCAUCUUAAUUCAUCUGCUCAAGGAACAACUAAUGAUGGAAUAGGUAUUGGAGCUACUUCAUCCCCUGAGAAAGUCUUAAUUACUGCCUUACCCACCAUACCUUCAGCUAUUAUUUCCAGUAGUAGCCAGGAGUCAGAAGUUUCAAAGUCCCCCAGUCAUCAGGACAAAGACAGUGAUCAUUGUUUUGCUACACCUUCCUCUUCCAGUAAUAAUGCUGAACCAGAAAUAUCAAGUCAACCCAAUGAAGUAUCUACUAAAGAUAAGAAAACGAGAAAGAACAGAUGUCAUAUGUGUCGUAAGAAGGUUGGACUUACAGGUUAGUACCAGGGCAGUAUCAAAACUUUUGUAGUAGUUUCCAUAAUAAUUUUUUUUUCUUUAUUUCAGCUAAAAUAUUUUGAUCUUUGUGUGAUCAAAACCAAAUCUAGCAAGAGGUAAAUACAGAAAAUGAACUUGGAUACAUGAGAGGUUUCUAUUGUCGUUGCGGUGGACUUUUUUGCAGUUUGCACAGAUAUUCAGAUGAACACAAUUGUACUUUUGACUAUAAAAUGUUGGGAGCUGAGGAAAUCAGGAAAAAUAACCCUCUUGUUGUUGGAGAAAAGAUUCAAAAACUAUGAUAGGGUGAAUUCACAUUUUGUUGAUCAUGUCUGGCAUGAUAAGUGGAACCCUAAUAAGAAAUGUACAUUAGGGUUGUUCAUCUUGCAUUUUGACGUGCAGUCAUGUGCAAACGUUUGAAAUCAUCAUAGAUUUAAUUCAUUCUAUAGUUAAACCUACAGCCAUAUCAAUGGUUAUAGAAAGGGUUGCCUUCUUCAAAGUCUACUACUACUACACAGGGAAAAGUACAUUAACAAAAGGCAUAUUCCCAAUAUUUUCCAAAUGUGUAUGAAAACAGGUUUUAAUUUAUAUGCUGAUUACAAACUUGCACACAGCUGUCAUUUAUUAAAACAGAUGCACAAAAAAGAAUGAAAAGUUUAGAAAUGGCUCUAUAUUAUUUUGUGCUUAUUUUGAAUUUGAUAUUCUUUUUUUUUUAAGAUAGUUUUUUUUCAACAUUUGAAUAGAUUUCUAAACAAAAACUUUUUGGUAACCCGUAGAGAAUUUUUUUUAAAGUUACGUUCUGAUUGUGAUCCUGUUUUUCUAUUGGCUGUUUAUGUUUUGGGAAGUAGAAACAUAAACGUGAGGAAAACAUUAUGACAACAGUACAUUUUUGGUAGCUACAAAAUAUGUAUAAAGUACAAUUUGUCUUUGAAGUUGUGUUUUUGAACUGGAAACACCAAAUAGAAAGUGUCAAACUUUUAAUUUUGACAGUAAAUUAUUAAACUUAAAAAAACAAAAACUUGGGAAGGUACAAUGUAAAUUUAAUCCUCUAGUUUAUUCCUCCUUAGAACAACACUGUUCUGCUUAUGUUGAAUGAUAAGGAUAGCUUUUGUACUAUCACAUUAUUAACUGAAGUAACUUGGAUAUUUAAAUUAUAAUGUGCAAUUGUAAUCUUCAGAUAAUAAAUAAUUAGUAGAGCUUAGAGAAAAUGUGUUCAGUACUUUAAGCAGUAGUUUAUUUUAGCUGUACAUCUUUAAACAGUUUCUUGUGGCUAAAUAUGUAAGCGUAGUUGAAUUAAACUCAUUGAUUGCACUCCAAUUUAGGAAUUUAGUUUCAGUAUUUUGUAUGUCAACAAUUUAGACUAUUGCAGUUGAAAUUGCACUGAAGUAUAUUAUUGACAAAUUAGUAUAUAUAAAUUACGUGUAAUUAUACAUAAACUAAUCGGUGCACAACUGGUAUGUAUAAACAUUAGAUGAAGAAUUUUUCCACUUGUUAAUCAUUGCCCCCCCCCCCCAUAAAAUUGUUCAUUCUAGAUCAAUUUGUAUAGGAAUAUAUAGUGUAAUCCACAGCCAAAAUAAUACUUUUCCCACCGACACAUCUUGUACAAUAGAAUAUAUCACCAUACAGAACAUCUCAUAUUACCCAUAGUGGCUUAGUAAUUUUGUUUACAGGUUUUUUUUUUUACAAUUCUGCUUCUUGGUAGCUAGUUGCUCCUGAGAAUUUAGUUUAUUUGCUAUUUGUGUGUUUGUGCUGAUUAAUAAUAAUGUAUUUUAAUACUAAGAAAUGAUUAAAAUCUGAAAGAAAAAUGUGUCAAUGUUUUGAACAAAUGACGUUUGUCAGGACCAUGAAAAAAACAUGGUUGAAAUGUUGACCACUUAUUUUUCCUUUUUACAAAUAUUUUAUCAAUGCCUAAUUUCAGAUUUUAUUACUCUGUAGUUACAUUUCUAUUUUAUUUGUAUUAAGUGUGUUAGUUAGGAUUAUUCCAUAAUUUCUGAUAAUUUGGUAUUAGAUAGAGGAGAAAAAUGUGGUUCCUCAGAUGCAAUAUUAUUGGGUGUUUGUUCCAUAAUCUGUUUUUUGAAACUUAGAGAAAAAUUACUUUUAACAGGUUACUUGUGGUUCAAGAGGCUAGUUAGUUUUAAACAGUGACUUGAGGAAACAAAGUUAAGGGAUUACUACUGUAUAGGGUUUACUUUGUGGAAUAGGCUUUUAUAGCCAAUAAGUAACGUUCUUACAAUGGAACAUUGUCUUCAUUGUUCACAGAAGUGUUUAAAUAUAGCCCUGUGUGUGAUAUAAAGCCCUCUGUCAAGAAGUAAACUAGUAUAUAUGCUAAAAAAAUAAUUUGGGUGAUCAUUAUCAAGAUUAGUUUGUGUGUAUGAGUGAUUAAAUGUAUUCUAGAUUAUACAAAAAAAAAUUAGAAAAAUAAUGUAAACUUUUAAGAUUUGACAAACAUCUGUUACUGUUUGCUUAUUAAGAGUAUUUUUUUCCUACUACUUUAAGAAAUGAAAAGUUUUAUGAUAUUUAUGGUAAAAUUCCAGGUAGUGAAGUGUGAAUGAUCAUAUUAGGUAUCAAGUGAUAAAAAAAAAAUUGUGUAUUAACUUAUUGUAAACCUCAUUUGAUGUCAGAUCUGAGUUUCAUGUUCUAGGUACUUUAAAUAAAAUAUCUAAAGUAAAA